rnacentral:misc_RNA from 1 species
GGAAGUAAAAGUCGUAACAAGAUCUCCGUUGGUGAACCAGCGGAGGGAUCAUUACCGAAGUUACCUUCAAAACCCACUGUGAACCUUACCUCUUGCCGCGUUGUCUCGGCGGGAGGCGGUGUGCGUCGCGCGCCCUAGCGGGCCGCGCCGCUCCCGUCCCCGCCGGCAGCGCCAAACUCUAAAUGCACAGCGGACUGUACGUUCUGAUUUACAAAAAAAACAAGUUAAAACUUUCAACAACGGGUCUCUUGGUUCUG